rnacentral:rRNA from 1 species
UACAGAGGGUGCAAGCGUUGUUCGGAAUUAUUGGGCGUAAAGCGCGUGUAGGCGGCUUUGCAAGUCGGGUGUGAAAGCCCUCGGCUCAACCGAGGAAGUGCGCCCGAAACUGCAGAGCUUGAGUACCGGAGAGGGUGUCGGAAUUCCCCCAAGUAGAGGUGAAAUUCGUAGAUAUGGGGAGGAACACCGGGUGGGCGAAAGGCGGGCACCUGGACGGGAUACUGACGCUGAGACGCGAAAGCGUGGGUAGCAAACAGG